CAGUAUUCUGACUGUGCUAAGGUAGCAUAAUCAUUAGUCUUUUAAUUGGAGGCUGGUAUGAAUGACGAGACGAGAAAAUAGCUGUCUCUAUAAUAAACUUUGAAUUUCAUUUCUGAGUGAAAAAGCUCAGAUAAUUUUGAAGGACGAUCAGACCCUUUGGAGCUUUAUUUACUUCAAAAAUUUGAAUUUGUUUUAAUUGAUUGAAUGGAAAGUAAAUUUUGUUGGGGCGACAGGGAGUAAAAUAUAACACUCUUUUUUUAAAACAAUCCUAAUUGGAAAAUUGAUCCUUAAAGUGAGAUUAUAAGACUAAGUUACCCUAGGGAUAACAGCGUAAUCUUUUUGGAGAGUUCAAAUCGAUAAAAAGGUUUGCGACCUCGAUGUUGGAUUAAGAGAUUGGCAAGGUGCAGAAGUUUUGCUGGAAAGUCUGUUCGACUUUUAAUCUCUUACAUG
rnacentral:rRNA from 1 species